AUACGAAGGGGGCAAGCGUUGUUCGGAAUAACUGGGCGUAAAGCGCACGUAGGCGGAAUGUUAAGUUAGAGGUGAAAUCCCAGGGCUCAACCCUGGAACGGCCUUUAAUACUGGCAAUCUAGAGACCGAGAGAGGUGAGUGGAAUUCCGAGUGUAGAGGUGAAAUUCGUAGAUAUUCGGAGGAACACCAGUGGCGAAGGCGGCUCACUGGCUCGGUACUGACGCUGAGGUGCGAAAGCGUGGGGAGCAAACAGUAUUAGAAACCCUAGUAGUCC
rnacentral:rRNA from 1 species